rnacentral:rRNA from 1 species
UACGUAGGGUGCGAGCGUUAAUCGGAAUUACUGGGCGUAAAGCGUGCGCAGGCGGUUUUGUAAGCCAGAUGUGAAAUCCCCGGGCUUAACCUGGGAAUGGCAUUUGGGACUGCAAGGCUGGAGUGCGGCAGAGGAGACUGGAAUUCCUGGUGUAGCAGUGAAAUGCGUAGAUAUCAGGAGGAAUACCGAUGGCGAAGGCGGGGUCUCUGGGCAGUAACUGACGCUGAGACGCGAAAGCGUGGGGAGCAAACAGG